AGUUUCAUUCCUUGGGUAACUUCUGGAAAACAAGCUCAGGGUGGCACAUCAUCAUUUGAGGAUAAUUCAACCGGAGGACUGGGAAGGAGUGAUACAUUACAAGCAGGAGAGGAGCCCCCAGACGAUGAGUUUGCAGGCAUAUUGCAGCAGAUAGCUGACGAUCUUUACGAUGAAGCCAAGAUCGACAGCCUUGCUGGUCAGCUGGGA